rnacentral:rRNA from 1 species
UUCCAGACUCCUACGGGAGGCAGCAGUGGGGAAUAUUGGACAAUGGGGGAAACCCUGAUGCAGCGACGCCGCGUGAGUGAAGAAGUAUCUCGGUACGUAAAGCUCUAUCAGCAGGGAAGAAAAUGACGGUACCUGACUAAGAAGCCCCGGCUAACUACGUGCCAGCAGCCGCGGUAAUACGUAGGGGGCAAGCGUUAUCCGGAUUUACUGGGUGUAAAGGGAGCGUAGACGGCUGCGCAAGUCUGAAGUGAAAGCCCGGGGCUCAACCCCGGGACUGCUUUGGAAACUGUGUAGCUAGAGUGCUGGAGAGGCAAGCGGAAUUCCUAGUGUAGCGGUGAAAUGCGUAGAUAUUAGGAAGAACACCAGUGGCGAAGGCGGCUUGCUGGACAGUAACUGACGUUGAGGCUCGAAAGCGUGGGGAGCAAACAGGAUUAGAUACCCGCGUA